CCCUUAGAUGUUCUGGGCCGCACGCGUGCUACACUGAGUGGAUCAGCGGGUCAGGUUGCGCGAAAGUGUUUCCUAAUCUUGAAAUCCGCUCGUGAUGGGGAUUGACGGUUGCAAUUUUCCGUCAUGAACGAGGAAUACCUUGUAAGCGCGGGUCAUCAUCCCGCGCUGAAUACGUCCCUGCUCUUUGUACACACCGCCCGUCGCUCCUACCGAUUGAGUGGUCCGGUGAGGCUUUGGGAUCUGAGCAAAGAGAGCGUUUCGCUCGUUUUGCCCGGAAAACUCAGUCGAACCUUAUCAUUUAGAGGAAGGAGAAGUCGUAACA
rnacentral:rRNA from 1 species